rfam:Solanum tuberosum cultivar DM 1-3 516 R44 scf00154_8, whole genome shotgun sequence.
GGUGGAUUAUUCCAAAGGGAUCGCAUUGAUCCUGUGUCCCAAAUUAAUUAACUGGGGUCUAUGGGAUCAUGCGAUCUCUUCGGAAUUCUCCAU